rnacentral:rRNA from 1 species
CUCAGAUUGAACGCUGGCGGCAGGCCUAACACAUGCAAGUCGAGCGGUAGCACAGAGAGCUUGCUCUCGGGUGACGAGCGGCGGACGGGUGAGUAAUGUCUGGGAAACUGCCUGAUGGAGGGGGAUAACUACUGGAAACGGUAGCUAAUACCGCAUAANGUCGCAAGACCAAAGUGGGGGACCUUCGGGCCUCAUGCCAUCAGAUGUGCCCAGAUGGGAUUAGCUAGUAGGUGGGGUAACGGCUCACCUAGGCGACGAUCCCUAGCUGGUCUGAGAGGAUGACCAGCCACACUGGAACUGAGACACGGUCCAGACUCCUACGGGAGGCAGCAGUGGGGAAUAUUGCACAAUGGGCGCAAGCCUGAUGCAGCCAUGCCGCGUGUGUGAAGAAGGCCUUCGGGUUGUAAAGCACUUUCAGCGGGGAGGAAGGCGUUAAGGUUAAUAACCUNNNCGAUUGACGUUACCCGCAGAAGAAGCACCGGCUAACUCCGUGCCAGCAGCCGCGGUAAUACGGAGGGUGCAAGCGUUAAUCGGAAUUACUGGGCGUAAAGCGCACGCAGGCGGUCUGUCAAGUCGGAUGUGAAAUCCCCGGGCUCAACCUGGGAACUGCAUUCGAAACUGGCAGGCUAGAGUCUUGUAGAGGGGGGUAGAAUUCCAGGUGUAGCGGUGAAAUGCGUAGAGAUCUGGAGGAAUACCGGUGGCGAAGGCGGCCCCCUGGACAAAGACUGACGCUCAGGUGCGAAAGCGUGGGGAGCAAACAGGAUUAGAUACCCUGGUAGUCCACGCCGUAAACGAUGUCGAUUUGGAGGUUGUGCCCUUGAGGCGUGGCUUCCGGAGCUAACGCGUUAAAUCGACCGCCUGGGGAGUACGGCCGCAAGGUUAAAACUCAAAUGAAUUGACGGGGGCCCGCACAAGCGGUGGAGCAUGUGGUUUAAUUCGAUGCAACGCGAAGAACCUUACCUGGUCUUGACAUCCACAGAACUUUCCAGAGAUGGAUUGGUGCCUUCGGGAACUGUGAGACAGGUGCUGCAUGGCUGUCGUCAGCUCGUGUUGUGAAAUGUUGGGUUAAGUCCCGCAACGAGCGCAACCCUUAUCCUUUGUUGCCAGCGGUUAGGCCGGGAACUCAAAGGAGACUGCCAGUGAUAAACUGGAGGAAGGUGGGGAUGACGUCAAGUCAUCAUGGCCCUUACGACCAGGGCUACACACGUGCUACAAUGGCAUAUACAAAGAGAAGCGACCUCGCGAGAGCAAGCGGACCUCAUAAAGUAUGUCGUAGUCCGGAUUGGAGUCUGCAACUCGACUCCAUGAAGUCGGAAUCGCUAGUAAUCGUAGAUCAGAAUGCUACGGUGAAUACGUUCCCGGGCCUUGUACACACCGCCCGUCACACCAUGGGAGUGGGUUGCAAAAGAAGUAGGUAGCUUAACCUUCGGGAGGGCGC